UACGUAGGGUCCGAGCGUUGUCCGGAAUUAUUGGGCGUAAAGGGCUCGUAGGCGGUUUGUCGCGUCGGGAGUGAAAACACCGGGCUUAACUCGGUGCUUGCUUCCGAUACGGGCAGACUGGAGGUAUGCAGGGGAGAACGGAAUUCCUGGUGUAGCGGUGAAAUGCGCAGAUAUCAGGAGGAACACCGGUGGCGAAGGCGGUCUCUGGGCAUUAACUGACGCUGAGGAGCGAAAGCAUGGGGAGCGAACAGG
rnacentral:rRNA from 1 species